GCAAGCAUGGUAUAGUGGUUUGAACAUUGGAUUAUGACUCUGGAGAUUAGGGUUCGAUUGCCUGCUUGAG